AGUAUGCACGUGGUUGCUGUCACCAAUUAUUCUAAUCAAGCACUUUUGUUUUGUACGUGUAGAGCUUCACCAGAGCUUUUAGCAAUGGCUCGGUUUUUCAACGUUUUGCUGGCAUAUGUAGGCCUAGCUGUAGUCCAAUCAGAUUUAAAGAGUAGGCCUACUUCGCGCACAGACGGGUUGCCCUACCACUACCGUGGACAAUGGAUUCUCCCCAACGACGGUCAUCCAUACGGGGAACAAUCAGAAGAAGACUCGCUUGAGGCACGGACCACCUGGCCCGCUGUGAUGCAGACCGCUGCUCUGGUGGUCACCGAGCAGGAGGCUCCACAGCUGGAGACCAAGCAGGAGCCGCGCGACCUGGAGGAGCAGGAUGAUGUUGAAGACUCUACCUGGUGGAAGGGUUUAGUGUUGGCAGCCGUCCUGUUGGUGUCUGCUAUGGCCACUCUCAGCGUGGUCUAUUACCUGUGUGUCUGGAGAGGCGGGCGGAUCUACUACCAGCCCCAGCACGACCUUUCCUCUGGGAUGUGAACAAUAUGAACUCCUGUAAAUACGCUUCUUUUUGGAGCAAUAAAAUUACUUUGAAAAUGUGUUUGUUGAUCAGAGCAACAUGCUGCUGUACUUGGACCAGGAGAGGACCCGUCCCUUUCCUGGGCCCUUGUUUCAACAACAAGAGAACCCAGCAACAUACUACUUGGACCAGGGGCUCAGGCAUUCCAUUAGCUUGGUGUGCAUUCAAAGCACAGCCCCCGCCCCUCUGCCUUCAAAUGCUUCACUGCCCCACUCCCUUCAAAUGCCCCACUCCCUUCAAAUGCCCCACUGCCUUCAAAGGCCUCAGUUGUCACUGAGACUUUCUUGAAGGACCACACUCUAUUCCUAAUUGACCGCAAUUAGAAGCAGAGGGUAGGGGCCCUCCCAGGUCCCUCCAGGACCUGAGCCAGCGCCUGAAGCUGGCCAGGAACUCAAAGAAGCUGCUGUGGGAGGAGAUUGCUGGCAAGCUGACCAACCAUUUCAAACAUACCUUUCCCCCAGACAAGGUAGCUCGCAAAUGGAACACGUUGGUGGAGGCGUACAAAAAAUUGAAGGACCACAAUUCGUCCACAGGGAGGGGCCCUGGUAAAUUUCAGUUUUAUACUGAGAUGGAUGACCUCAUGGGAGGUCACCACGACAUAGUCUUCCCUGUUGUGGGAACAGCCAUGGGCCUGGAUGUGCGCAGGCCAGGUGCCCUGCAGGUCAGUGUGUCUGCACCAGAUGCCAUCACCUCCUCCGUCAUCCCGCGGUGCUCCUCACACAGCUACCACCAUGCCCCCUGCUGACACCCCAAGGAGACCACGCAAGCGCCAGAGGGAGGAGGACCUGUUGGCGUUCCUUAGGGAGUCCGAGGCAGCCUCCCAAGCGGCCGCCCAAAAACGGCACGCUGAGACCCUGGCACAAAUGAAGGAAGCCCAGGAGGGGCUCCAGAGUUUGCUUGGCCAGAUGGUGGAGAAGAUGUGAAAUCAUUUUGUUUCUUUUUCAUUGGAAAUGUUAAUGUAUUUUGGUUAAUGUUCAAAUCUUUUAUAGAUAUUUUAUAUUAUAUUUUAUGUAAUUUGAUAUAUUGUAUUUAAUGCCUUUUUACUGUAAAUAGUUGAGAACACUGAAAGCACUGAAACCUGUUCACUUUUCCCUGUUUUGUUGUUUGUCCGUGGGCCCUGUUUUGUUGUUUGUCCUUGGCCCGGAGGAUAGAAAGAGGAAACAAGGCACACUUCUGUGCAAUAUCAAUUGUUUUCAAUAAAAUCUAAUUUGAAUAUCAACCAAGCCUUGUCAUGGU